rnacentral:rRNA from 1 species
AGUGAACGCUGGCGGUAGGCCUAACACAUGCAAGUCGAACGGCAGCACAGUAAGAGCUUGCUCUUACGGGUGGCGAGUGGCGGACGGGUGAGGAAUACAUCGGAAUCUACUUUUUCGUGGGGGAUAACGUAGGGAAACUUACGCUAAUACCGCAUACGACCUACGGGUGAAAGCAGGGGAUCUUCGGACCUUGCGCGAUUGAAUGAGCCGAUGUCGGAUUAGCUAGUUGGCGGGGUAAAGGCCCACCAAGGCGACGAUCCGUAGCUGGUCUGAGAGGAUGAUCAGCCACACUGGAACUGAGUCACGGUCCAGACUCCUACGGGAGGCAGCAGUGGGGAAUAUUGGACAAUGGGCGCAAGCCUGAUCCAGCCAUACCGCGUGGGUGAAGAAGGCCUUCGGGUUGUAGAGCCCUUUUGUUGGGAAAGAAAAGCAGCAGGUUAAUACCCCGCUGUUCUGACGGUACCCAAAAAAUAAGCACCGGCUAACUUCGUG